UGGGGGAUAUUGGACAAUGGGGGGAACCCUGAUCCAGCGACGCCGCGUGAGUGAAGAAGUAUUUCGGUAUGUAAAGCUCUGUCAGCAGGGAAGAAAGAAAUGACGGUACCUGACCAAGAAGCCCCGGCUAACUACGUGCCAGCAGCCGCGGUAAUACGUAGGGGGCAAGCGUUAUCCGGAAUUACUGGGUGUAAAGGGAGCGUAGACGGUUAAGUAAGUCUGGAGUGAAAGGCCGGGGCCCAACCCCGGGACUGCUCUGGAAACUAUUUAACUUGAGUGCAGGAGAGGUAAGCGGAAUUCCUAGUGUAGCGGUGAAAUGCGUAGAUAUUAGGAGGAACACCAGUGGCGAAGGCGGCUUACUGGACUGUAACUGACGUUGAGGCUCGAAAGCGUGGGGAGCAAACA
rnacentral:rRNA from 1 species